rnacentral:rRNA from 1 species
ACGAACGCUGGCGGCAGGCUUAACACAUGCAAGUCGAGCGAGGACUUCGGUCCUAGCGGCGGACGGGUGAGUAACGCGUGGGAACGUGCCCCUUUCUUCGGAAUAGCCCUGGGAAACUGGGAGUAAUGCCGGAUACGCCGGAUCAUCGUGAGAUGGUUUGGGAAAGAUUUAUCGGAGAGGGAUCGGCCCGCGUUGGAUUAGGUAGUUGGUGGGGUAAUGGCCUACCAAGCCGACGAUCCAUAGCUGGUUUGAGAGGAUGAUCAGCCACACUGGGACUGAGACACGGCCCAGACUCCUACGGGAGGCAGCAGUGGGGAAUCUUGGACAAUGGGGGCAACCCUGAUCCAGCCAUGCCGCGUGAUCGAUGAAGGCCUUAGGGUUGUAAAGAUCUUUCAGCUGGGAAGAUAAUGACGGUACCAGCAGAAGAAGCCCCGGCUAACUCCGU